CAGAACUCUUUGUCAGCGUGGCGGCCGGUGGCAGCGGCCAUCUACGAUCUGUUCGUGCGUUGCCCUGAUGGAGGCGGCCGUGCUCCAUAGCAAGGCAGAAAGGGAAACCAACUUCAACUUUGCGAGGAGAAGUUCCGCAUUUGAGAAGCCGGAGAAGAGUAUCUCACUAAGUACAGAUUCGAGGUAGGGAUAUCAUUUUCUCUCCAAUCCAUUUAUCAUGGGAUCAUUUCCCAGAAAAAGACAAACAUGAAGGUAGCUGUGGACAGACUAUAUUUGUUUACUUCUUCUACCCACAAGUUUCAUGUACUGGACAACUAUAUUACACAUAUCUUGUGUUAUGAAAGAUAAUAGUUGGUGAUUGAUAUGGCAAGUGUCUACGAGCUGCCUAAUAUAGCAUGCAUUUAACAGUUCUUUCGAAUUCAUAUCUCUGCCUUUUCAUAAUUCCAUGG